UUUUGAAGACAUCCAACUUCCAUUUUUUUUUCCUUCUUUAAUUUGCAGAGAACUUCUAAGAGAGAGUUUGGAAGAUGAAGAGAAAUUUUACUAGAAUUUUGAGGUUGAAGAAGAGGAGGAGAACUCAAGCAAAGUGUAUCCAUGGCUGAAUUUUAGUUCCUUCUGCACAUCACUGGUUUUUAAUUCAGUUUGAACUCUUCAAAAGGAAUUAAGAGGCCGAGAAGAAUUAAAUCGAGCUUAUAGACCAAGGAUCUAGCCCAAGACUGUAGAGAUCGAGUUCCCGGUGCCUCAUAGACUGCCUUAGUUUGCGGAAGCUUCAUUAUCGAUUGCCAGUACGUGUUUUGAGUUGGGCAUAGAGUCUGUUGUGUUGUGAUGUAUAUACACCCUUGUAUGUUAUAGAUACUCCACAGUUUGUAUAAGCUUUAGGAGCUGUAGUUGUGUAAAUUUUGUUGGUUAUAUUUUGAUUAAGGUGUCUUUAGGUUUACUCGUGAAAUCGAUAAAUUUUGAGGUACACUUCAUGUAUGUGUUUGACUAGAUAUUUUUGACUAGCCUAGGAUCCGCUGUGUUUUGUUGCAUGUAUAAUAGUUUAUAUACUAGAUUGGCAAGUUCAUCACAUGAAAGUUUUAAGCAGAGUCGACAGAUACAGGUACAGAAAAGCGUUGUUCGUCGGCUUCACGCCAUCUUUUGGUCUAAGAUAGCAGGUAGUCCGGGAGGGGGUGUGACAAUGUUUCUCAACAACUAGCCACCACAGCAAGACCCACUUUAGUCCACAAUUACACAGGGAUCCUACCCAUUUUAAUCCAUACACGAACAAAAUUCAAAACAAAAGUUUCGAGAAAAAUUCGUGGAGACCAUUUUCAAAGAAGUGUGGGUAUUCACCCAAGAUGUUAGGGGCUUCGAGAAAGAAUCCAGUCUAUUGAUUUUGGAUUUAUGAAUUGAAAACAAAUGAGAUCGUUUUCAAGGAUCGUAACUGUAGGCCUUCAAAUUUUACCCAUAUUUUCUGUAUAAGGCGUUCAAUGACAACACGGGGCAUUUUUGAAUUGACAAACUACCUCACUAGAGAAUUCUCCCAAACCUUCACUUCUUGAGCAACAAUCUCCUUUGGCAGAACAACGACGACCUUUGAACCCAAUGUAAUAGGGGGAGUAAGAGGAAGAGGUUAUGCAAAAACCGAACAAUGUAGAUAGAUUUGCUAAAGUGCCCUCACAAGCAUUCUUAUUUGCAAAAUUAUUGUGCAAAUAUUUUGAAUUUUAGAUAUGAUAACAUUUAAG